rnacentral:sRNA from 1 species
AGCCAAGCCCAGCAGAGUGGCCCCACUGGCCAGCCGAGCCAGCCCCCGGGCACAGCCACCACGCCACUGGAGGGUGACGGCCUUUCCACGCCCACCGAGGUUGGCGACAGCCCCCUGCAGGCUCGGGCUUUGGGAGAGGCAGGAGUGGCCACAGGAAGUGAGGCUCUGAGCAGCCCCCAAUCCCAGCACCACACGGAAGGGGAGGACCAGGACGCUUCCAUCCCCUCUGGGGGCAGAGGCCUGUCCCAGGAGGGGACCAUUCCCCCGACCUCUGCUGGUGAAGGCCGUUCUAGGACUGAAGAUGCUGCCCAGGAGCUCCUGUUGCCUGAGUCAAAAGGAGGCAGCUCUGAGCCCAGGACAGAACCACAGACCACCGAGCAGCAGGCAGGGACCCCAGCCUCUACGGCAGUUGAUGCUGCAGCUGAGCCAGCCAAUACAGUUAAAGGGGCCGGGAAGGAAAUGAAAGAGAAGACCCAGAGAACAAAACAGCCGCCAGCAACCACUCCUGCUUCCAAAACACACUGCCAGGAAGCUGAGACCAAGACCAAGACCAAGGACGAGACGGCUGCUGCUGGAGAAAAAGUUGGUAAAAAUGAACGAGGGGAGCCUGAAGACCUGAAGAAGCCAGAGGGGAAGAACAGAAGUGCAGCUGCUGUGAAAAAGGACAAGGAGCAAAAAAACCAGAAAGCAGGUGUCCAGGAAGUGAAGGCAAGCACGCUGAGCCCAGGCGGAGGAGUCACCGUGUACUUCCACGCCAUCAUCUCUCAUCAUUUCUCAUUCAGUCCCGACCACCAUAAAGUCUUCAUCAGAGGAGGAGAAGAAUUUGGGGAGCCGAAAUGGGCCAGCAAUGUCUGUGAGCUGUACUACAGCAGAGACUUAGGUCAUGACGGCGUUCUUGUUGAAGGCAGUGUCGUCAUUUCCAAGAAGCACCUAGAUAAAUACAUUCCUUAUAAGUACAUCAUUUAUAAUAAGGGCUCUGCUGAAUAUGAGUUCAUCUACAAGCGCCAGCAGAAGGAGGGCGAGCACGUCAACCGCUGUCUGUUAAUAAAAUCUUCACUUCUGGGCUCAGGAGACUGGCAUCAAUACGAUGACAUAGUUUGUAUGAAGCCUCCUGGGAAAUUACAGAAAGUCAUGAACCACAUCACAGACGGGUCGAGGAAGGACCUGGUGAAGGGGAAGCACACUGCCGCUACGGUCAUGCUGGACAGCAUCUUCAGCAUCCUGCAGACCUGGGACACCAUCAACCUGAACAGCUUCUUCACCCAGUUCCAGCAGUUUUACUUUGUCAUGCAACAGCCUAUGAUUUAUGAAGGACAGGCACAGCCGUGGACCGAUUUGCAGUACGGGGAGAAAGAGGUGAAGAGAUACCUGUGGGAAUAUCUGAAAAAGCACAUGGUACCACUUUUGGACAGAAAAAGCGCGGACUCUUUGCCUAUAGACGGCCCAGUGAGGAGUAAACUGAAAAUGGGCCUGAUUGUCCUUUUCAUAGUGGAAAAAAUUCAGUUUUUAUUAGAAGACAGCCUGACCUUGUUGUGUCACCUCCUAACCUCAGAUGCCAGCUCACCAGAUGAGUUUCACAGUGACCUAAGCCACAUCCUUGGGAUACCUCAGAGCUGGCGGCUGUACCUGGUGAACCUGUGCCAAAGGUGCAUGGACACAAGUAUGUACAACUGGCUGGGAGCCCUGCCUGUCCUGCACUGCUGUAUGGAGCUGGCCCCGCGGCACAAGGACGCCUGGAGCCAGCCUGAGGACACCUGGGCCGCUUUGGAGGGAAUCUCCUUCUCACAGUUCCGGGAACAAAUGCUAGAUACGAGCUCCUUACUUCAGUUUAUGAACCAGAAGAAGCAUUUGCUGAGCAUAGACGAGCCUCUGUUCCGGUCCUGGUUUAGUCUGCUACCUCUGAGUCACCUGGUUCAGUAUAUGGAAGACUUCAUGGAGCACCUGUGUCAUUUUCCUGCUCAUAUCCUGGACUGUUUUUUAGGGAUUUACUACCGGCUUCCGGGACUUCAGAAAGUCUGGAAUAUGCAGGAUGUUCAGAACGUUCAGAACAUUUUAAAAAUGCUGUUGCACCUCCUGGACACUUACCAGGACAAGAUUCCCGAGGAGGCCUUGUCACCAUCCUACCUGAUUGUGUGUCUGAAACUGCAUGAAGCCAUCUGCAGCAGCACAAAGAUACCUAAGUUUUACGAGCUGCCAGCCUUAUCUGCCGAGAUUGUCUGCAGAAUGAUUAUACUUCUAUCCCUGGUGGAUUCUGCAGGACAGGGAGAUGAAACUGGAAAUAAUUCAGUCCAAACAGUCUUCCAAGGGACGCUUGCUGCUACAAAAAGGUGGCUCCAAGAAGUUUUUACAGAGAACAUGCUCGCAUAUUCAGGUGCCUCAUUCACAUACGUCGAGGAAAUUGAGGUCUGGAGGCGGCUGGUGGAAAUCCACUUCCCCAUGGAGCAUGGCUGGAAGGAGUCGUUGCUGGGAGACAUGGAAUGGAGGCUCAAACAGGAGAAACCCCUCUCCCAGAUCACUGCCUACUGCAAUAGCCGCUGGGACACCAAAGGCUUAGAGGACAGUGUGGCCAAGACCUUUGAGAAAUGCGCCAUUGAAGCCGUGAGCUCAGCCUGCCAGUCUCAGACCAGUAUCCUUCAGGGGCUCUCUUGCUCUGAUUUGCGGAAAUUUGGCACCCUCUUGUCUGCUGUGAUCACUAAGUCCUGGCCUAGGAACAAUGGGGAAGCCGUGGACGACUUCGAUGACAUUUUAAAGCAUCUGCUCACGUUGGCAGAUGUCAAGCACCUCUUCAGAUUGUGUGGAACCGAUGAGAAAAUACGAGCAAAUAUCACACAGGAUGGCAAGAAGUUGAUGGCUGCUGCUGACUCUGUGUUCACGAAAGUUGUUGGUGACCUCCUAACUGGAACGAUUUUAGUUGGACAACUGGAGCUGAUUAUAAAGCACAAGAAUCAGUUUCUUGACAUCUGGCAACUGAAGGAAAAAAGUCUUUCACCCCAGGAUGAAAAAUAUGCUGUGGAGGAAGCACUGGAUUGGAGAAUGGAGGAACUGUUAUUUCUAAAGAAAGAGAAAAGAUGUGUUGAUAGUCUCCUGAAGAUGUGUGGGAACGUGAAACAUCUGAUACAAGUGGACUUUGGAGUGCUUGCAGUAAGAUACUCACAAGACCUCAGCAGUAAAAGAUUAAAUGAAGCCGUGACAGUGAGACUGUCCACCUCCUCAAACUCGCAGAGGACAACGCAUUACGACCUGAGCUCCCGGGUCCGAGAAAUGGCUGGGAAGAUAGACUUGCUCAGAGACAGCCACAUCUUCCAGAUCUUCUGGCGGGAAGCCGCAGAGCCGCUGGGUGAGCCUAAGGAGGACCGGGAAGCCGCAGAGUUGCUGAGUGAGCCCGAAGAAGAAUCAGAAAGGCACAUCCUUGAGCUUGAAGAGGUGUAUGACUAUUUGUAUCAACCUUCUUACAGAAAGUUCAUUAAAUUGUACCAGGAUCUAAAGUCAGGAGAGGUCACCCUUGCAGAGAUUGAUGUCAUCUUCAAGGACUUUGUGAAUAAAUACAUGGACUUGGAUUCAGAACUUAAGAUCAUGUGCACUGUGGACCACCAGGGCCAAAGAGAUUGGAUCAAGGAGCGAGUCGAACAGAUCAAGGAAUACCAUCACCUGCACCAGGCCGUCCAUGCAGCCAAGGUCAUCUUGCAGGUGAAAGAGAGCCUGGGACUGACCGGUGACUUCAGUGUUCUCAACACUUUACUAAAUUUUACUGAUAACUUCGACGACUUUCGCCAUGAAACACUGGACCAGAUCAACCAGGAGCUCAUCCGGGCCAAAAAGCUGCUCCAGGACAUCAGCGAGGCCCGGUGCAAGGGGCUGAAGGCUCUGUCCCUGAGAAAGGAUUUCAUCUGCUGGGUCCGGGAGGCUCUUGGAGGCAUCAAUGAGCUGAAGGUGUUUGUGGACCUGGCCUCCAUCUCAGCGGGGGAGAAUGACAUUGAUGUGGACCGGGUGGCCUGCUUCCAUGAUGCUGUGCAGGGCUACGCAUCCCUGCUGUUUAAGCUGGACCCCAGGGUGGGCUUCAGUGCAUUCAUGAAGCAUCUGAAAGAGCUGUGGAAGGCUCUAGACAAUGACCAGUACCUGCCCAGGAAACUGGUGAGUCUUAUUCUGGCUCUAAUGCAGAUUUUGUUGAAUAGAGCGUUGCUUAGCAACAUCAGGGGAGUGACUGUGCAAAUGGUGGUACACUUGUAUGGUAGGUUUGUACACAGCCGUUUUCAAUGAUAUUUAAAAAGCUUUUCUUCAUAAAUGGAAAUUCACCAUCUUGUUACUUAGAAAGCAGGACACAAAAUUACAUGACACAUAGUAAUCUCUAAGGUGCAAAACACACCUGGAAAAAAGACAGAAAGGAAAUAUGCUGAAACAUUGUCAGGAGUUUUCUCUGAAUGGUUGUAAUUGUCAUUUUAUUCUGUUACUUUUUGUUAUUUUCUAUAAUUGAUAGAAUUUUUUAUCAGAAAAAAGUAAACAUUCAAAAUUAGCCAGGCAUGGUGGUGUGCGCCUGUAAUCCCAGCUACUCUGGAGGCUGAGACAGGAGAAUUGCUCGAACCCGGGAGGCAGAGAUAGCAGUGAGCUGAGAUCACACCACUGCACUCCAGCCUGAGUGACAAAGUGAGACUCUGUCUC